rnacentral:rRNA from 1 species
CCUACGGGUGGCAGCAGUGAGGAAUAUUGGUCAAUGGCCGAGAGGCUGAACCAGCCAAGUCGCGUGAGGGAAGACGGCCCUACGGGUUGUAAACCUCUUUUGUCGGGGAGCAAAGCGAGUCACGUGUGACUCAUUGAGAGUACCCCAAGAAAAAGCAUCGGCUAACUCCGUGCCAGCAGCCGCGGUAAUACGGAGGAUGCGAGCGUUAUCCGGAUUUAUUGGGUUUAAGGGGUGCGAGGGCGGGGGUGAAAGUCGGCGGUAAAAUCGCGGGCCUAAACCCCGUACUGCCGUUGAAACUGCAUCCCUUGAGUGCGCGAGAAGUAUGCGGAAUGCGUGGUGUAGCGGUGAAAUGCAUAGAUAUCACGCAGAACUCCGAUUGCGAAGGCAGCAUACCGGCGCGCAACUGACGCUCAUGCACGAAAGCGUGGGUAUCGAACAGGAUUAGAUACCCGGGUAGUC